UGGGGUUUACGGGAGGCAGCAGCAAGCCCUCCUAUCCAACUGGGCCGCAAGUCAGGGAGCAACGUUGUGUGGAGGAUGAUGGUUUUUGGGUUGUAAACUUUUUUUGGGUGGGAUGAUUAUGAUGGUAUUAUUAGAAGUAGCUUUGGUUAAUUUUGUGUUAGUAGUUGCGGUAAGAUAGAGGGGGUAAGUGUUGUUUGGAGUUACUGGGGGUAAAGGGCGGGGAGGCGGUUUGGGGCGUCGGCGCUGAAAGGGCCGCUUAAAGGGGUGAGGCGUGCCGAUACGCGCAGACUCGAGGCGAGCAGAGGGUGGUGGAAUUCAGGGUGGAGCGGUGAAAUGCGUAGAGAUUCGGAGGAACGCGAGUGGGGAAGCUGGCUACUUGGGCUCGUCUUGACGCUGCGGCG
rnacentral:rRNA from 1 species